rnacentral:rRNA from 1 species
CGGAGAAUGUUAUCACGGGAGACACACGGCGGGUGCUAACGUCCGUCGUGAAGAGGGAAACAACCCAGACCGCCAGCUAAGGUCCCAAAGUCAUGGUUAAGUGGGAAACGAUGUGGGAAGGCCCAGACAGCCAGGAUGUUGGCUUAGAAGCAGCCAUCAUUUAAAGAAAGCGUAAUAGCUCACUGGUCGAGUCGGCCUGCGCGGAAGAUGUAACGGGGCUAAACCAUGCACCGAAGCUGCGGCAGCGACACUGUGUGUUGUUGGGUAGGGGAGCGUUCUGUAAGCCUGCGAAGGUGUGCUGUGAGGCAUGCUGGAGGUAUCAGAAGUGCGAAUGCUGACAUAAGUAACGAUAAAGCGGGUGAAAAGCCCGCUCGCCGGAAGACCAAGGGUUCCUGUCCAACGUUAAUCGGGGCAGGGUGAGUCGACCCCUAAGGCGAGGCCGAAAGGCGUAGUCGAUGGGAAACAGGUUAAUAUUCCUGUACUUGGUGUUACUGCGAAGGGGGGACGGAGAAGGCUAUGUUGGCCGGGCGACGGUUGUCCCGGUUUAAGCGUGUAGGCUGGUUUUCCAGGCAAAUCCGGAAAAUCAAGGCUGAGGCGUGAUGACGAGGCACUACGGUGCUGAAGCAACAAAUGCCCUGCUUCCAGGAAAAGCCUCUAAGCAUCAGGUAACAUCAAAUCGUACCCCAAACCGACACAGGUGGUCAGGUAGAGAAUACCAAGGCGCUUGAGAGAACUCGGGUGAAGGAACUAGGCAAAAUGGUGCCGUAACUUCGGGAGAAGGCACGCUGAUACGUAGGUGAAGUCCCUCGCGGAUGGAGCUGAAAUCAGUCGAAGAUACCAGCUGGCUGCAACUGUUUAUUAAAAACACAGCACUGUGCAAACACGAAAGUGGACGUAUACGGUGUGACGCCUGCCCGGUGCCGGAAGGUUAAUUGAUGGGGUCAGCGCAAGCGAAGCUCUUGAUCGAAGCCCCGGUAAACGGCGGCCGUAACUAUAACGGUCCUAAGGUAGCGAAAUUCCUUGUCGGGUAAGUUCCGACCUGCACGAAUGGCGUAAUGAUGGCCAGGCUGUCUCCACCCGAGACUCAGUGAAAUUGAACUCGCUGUGAAGAUGCAGUGUACCCGCGGCAAGACGGAAAGACCCCGUGAACCUUUACUAUAGCUUGACACUGAACAUUGAGCCUUGAUGUGUAGGAUAGGUGGGAGGCUUUGAAGUGUGGACGCCAGUCUGCAUGGAGCCGACCUUGAAAUACCACCCUUUAAUGUUUGAUGUUCUAACGUUGACCCGUAAUCCGGGUUGCGGACAGUGUCUGGUGGGUAGUUUGACUGGGGCGGUCUCCUCCUAAAGAGUAACGGAGGAGCACGAAGGUUGGCUAAUCCUGGUCGGACAUCAGGAGGUUAGUGCAAUGGCAUAAGCCAGCUUGACUGCGAGCGUGACGGCGCGAGCAGGUGCGAAAGCAGGUCAUAGUGAUCCGGUGGUUCUGAAUGGAAGGGCCAUCGCUCAACGGAUAAAAGGUACUCCGGGGAUAACAGGCUGAUACCGCCCAAGAGUUCAUAUCGACGGCGGUGUUUGGCACCUCGAUGUCGGCUCAUCACAUCCUGGGGCUGAAGUAGGUCCCAAGGGUAUGGCUGUUCGCCAUUUAAAGUGGUACGCGAGCUGGGUUUAGAACGUCGUGAGACAGUUCGGUCCCUAUCUGCCGUGGGCGCUGGAGAAUUGAGGGGGGCUGCUCCUAGUACGAGAGGACCGGAGUGGACGCAUCACUGGUGUUCGGGUUGUCAUGCCAAUGGCACUGCCCGGUAGCUAAAUGCGGAAGAGAUAAGUGCUGAAAGCAUCUAAGCACGAAACUUGCCCCGAGAUGAGUUCUCCCUGACUCCUUGAGAGUCCUGAAGGAACGUUGAAGACGACGACGUUGAUAGGCCGGGUGUGUAAGCGCAGCGAUGCGUUGAGCUAACCGGUACUAAUGAACCGUGAGGCUUAACCUUACAACGCCGAAGGUGUUU